AGGUUAGCUAAUACCGCAUACGACUCUCGGUCUGCGGAUCGAGAGGGAAAGCGAUACCGUGGGUAUCGCGCUCAUGGAUGGGCUCAUGUCCUAUCAGCUUGUUGGUGAGGUAACGGCUCACCAAGGCUUCGACGGGUAGCUGGUCUGAGAGGACGAUCAGCCACACUGGCACUGCGACACGGGCCAGACUCCUACGGGAGGCAGCAGUAAGGAAUAUUGCGCAAUGGGCGACAGCCUGACGCAGCGACGCCGCGUGGGGGAUGAAGGUCUUCGGAUUGUAAACCCCUUUCGGCAGGGAAGAUGGAACGGGUAACCGUUCGGACGGUACCUGCAGAAGCAGCCACGGCUAACUUCGUGCCAGCAGCCGCGGUAAUACGAAGGUGGCAAGCGUUGUUCGGAUUUACUGGGCGUACAGGGAGCGUAGGCGGUUGGGUAAGCCC
rnacentral:rRNA from 1 species